ensembl:snRNA U6 U6 spliceosomal RNA
GUGCUUGCUUUGGCAGCACAUAUACUAAAAUUGGAAUGAUAGAGAAGAUUAGCUUGGCCUCUGUGCAAGGAUGGCAUGCAAAUUCAUGAAGUGUUCCAUAUUUAA